rnacentral:rRNA from 1 species
UACGUAGGGUGCGAGCGUUAAUCGGAUUUACUGGGCGUAAAGCGUACGUAGGCGGCUUGUUAAGCAAGAUGUGAAAUCCCCGGGCUCAACCUAGGAAUUGCGCUUGUGACUGGCGGGCUCGAGUACGGUAGAGGGGGGUGGAAUUCCUGGUGUAGCAGUGAAAUGCGUAGAGAUCAGGAGGAACACCGAUGGCGAAGGCAGCCCCCUGGGCCUGUACUGACGCUCAUGCACGAAAGCGUGGGGAGCAAACAGG